rnacentral:rRNA from 1 species
UCGGGAAUUUUGGGCAAUGGGCGAAAGCCUGACCCAGCAACGCCGCGUGAAGGAUGAAGUAUUUCGGUAUGUAAACUUCGUAAGAAUAGGAAGAAUAAAUGACGGUACUAUUUGUAAGGUCCGGCUAACUACGUGCCAGCAGCCGCGGUAAUACGUAGGGACCAAGCGUUGUUCGGAUUUACUGGGCGUAAAGGGCGCGUAGGCGGUGUGUCAAGUCAGUUGUGAAAUCUCCGAGCUUAACUCGGAACGGUCAACUGAUACUGUCACACUAGGGUACAGAAGGGGCAAUCGGAAUUCUUGGUGUAGCGGUGAAAUGCGUAGAUAUCAAGAGGAACACCUGAGGUGAAGACGGGUUGCUGGGCUGACACUGACGCUGAGGCGCGAAAGCCAGGGGAGCAAACGGGAUUAGAUACCCUUGUAGUCCCUGAGCGGGCUGGCAAGGCGCAU